GCGAACACGAGGAAAAUGGCGGGCGGAAACUGCGGGGACGAGGGCCCGAGGCCUCUCGCCCUGCCUCCCCACGCCAUACCGCGAGGACCGAACAGAUGGCAUUGUUGAAUUAGAAGGCAGCUCGCACUCGGGGGAUACCCACUCCCAUCUGCAGGAAUAUUAGGCAGAAGCUGUCGCCUCGCGCCGUUUCCAAGCAUACGGGCCUAAGCUGGUCUCAUGGUCCACCUGAGCUGCAAGGAAGCAGGCAUUCAGAAGAGCACAUGGGUAUACAGAGAGUGGUAAUUGUUUCUGAUACAACAUGGAUAGAUGCAAAAUGCAAAUGAAAAGCUCAAGAAGGAAAAAAAAAGAUUUCAUAGGUUAAUACUUUUGUGGAGGGAAGAUGAGAGGACUUCAGAGGGCAUUUAAAAUCAUAAGAAGCUCAUGUAUUACCACUGGUAUUAACAAUCGUUGGGAAAAUUCAUGAUGUCACUUGCUUUGAACAAUAUGAGGACCAGCUGUAAGUGGUACAGAAUGAAGACUAAUGACUGUUCACAUGCAAAACUCAGUCUUGUUGAAGAGGACUUCUUAGGCAGCAACAGAUUGUUAGGCUAAAUUAUUAGCUCAUUUUAAUUGAAAGUGUGAAAAGACAGUGCAUUUUGCAAGAUGGCACUCAGACAGCCAUCUGAUUCUUAGCUGAAAGAGCUUCACCCAAAGCAGCAUCAUAGAUAUGUUACUGUCCAUAGUCUGUAUUUUUAUAAUAUGUGGUCAGAUUGCAUUUGGCUAUACAGUAUUCAAUAAA